CACCACCUCCUGCCGACCGCCCCCCUCCCCGGCACCGCUCGCCGCCACAAACGCCGCAGCCGUUGGCGGCUCCCCCCACGCCCGCCCCUGCUACUCUUCUCCGCUAUUGCCGCCUAGCCCCGCUGCCUCCUCUCCACCGGCGGGAUUCGCCGCUACCGGCCACCACCUCUCACCCCAAGCCCUCACCGUGUCGUCGGCGUGGCUUCGGUGACUCCUCCCCUGCUCCUACCUCGCCCCACACGUAGCUCGACCCACUGGAUGGAGCUCCUCCGCCCGGUCGCCAUGGCCAUGGGGUGCUCAAGCUCCUCCUCCGAUCAGUUCACCCCCUCCUCUCUCUCUCUCCUCCUCCUCCCUCUCUCUCUCUCUAAACUCAGCUCUGUUCUUCUAUUCUAGAUGUGCAGGGAGGAACAUUUCAUGGACAAUGAGGAGAUAUGCAAACCACGCCAUGACCUGAAGGUCCCUGUCAUGAAACCCUCUUCCCCUUUUCCCUGUAUAGUGAUGCUCCAUAUUGCUUGAUAUGAUUUUGGUCAAUCUUCACUUGAGCCGAGCUAGCUGCUGGAGCUGGACUUAUUUUGUGAAAUGGUGUUUCCGACGCCAUGCUGCUGCUGUCCCUCGGUUUGCUCUGCAGACGGGUACUGGAACUACUUGUCGCCAAGGAUGGAGAGCUACAGCGGUGUGCUCGCCAAGGCCAUCGACGUGGGCACCAACCACCUCGUCAAAGGCAUCGUCGUGUGCAGCAAGGCCUACGCCAGCCAGGGAGCCAACGUGAUUAGUCCUCAAGCAGUCAGCGGCGCAAGCAAAACGCUUGGGCGACACCGGUGGAGCUGACAGGGAACAGCCAGGCAGGUCCGGUGAAGCGUGGAGGAGUCGACAAGAACCUCAAGAGGGUGCGGAAGUCGUGUGUCAAAGAUGAUGGAGAAGAUGAGCAAGACGAUACUGGGCAUGGUCAUCUUGGAAACAACGAUGGGACCUUGCCGCGACGAGGAAAUCUUUGAGUUACAUUACAUCGUUGGCCUUCUUCCUAUGACAGAGAAAGUUAUGGACACGGUAGAGGCUGUCGAGAGGAGUUCCCUUGCUGCAACCUCCAAUGUUAUUUCGGGUGCAGUGUCCAAGAGGUAAGAACAUGAGCACCUCAAGCCAUAUGAGACCAUUUCUCUGUUCGAAAGUCAUAUCAGCAUUUUGAACGUCGACUUCGCCAGCACGACGGCCUGCUCGCUAUGCUCCCCUCAAGGAGCUUCAAGACAGCAGGGGCAGCAGGCUUCGCUCAACAUAUUCAUCUAUGAUUUUCUCCCCGAUUUUGAAAUUAUUUGGCCCCUAUAGUCCCCUUGAGAAAAAUCAGAGUAUUUAUGGACUAUGCUCUAUGGGUUGACAAAUUUGAUUGCAGGGGCUGGCAAAGUAAGUGCAGUGUCACCGUUGCACAUAUAUUCAGGGCUACAUCAAACUUCAGUCAGAAGAACAUGACCAGGCAGGGUGCUUCAUGCAGUAUUGGGAGUGAGAAAGUUUGGUGUAUAAUCAGUGUCGCCUCCACUCUGCCCCGCCCCUGUGCUUUUUCCUCGAUGGAAAUGCGGGCCACCACGCCGCUCACUUCGCGUGCAACCACUUCAUCUCCAACCUGUCGUUGGAGAGCAUUGCAGACCGAGCGGACAAACGACGAGGUGUAGCAGCACAACCUUGCCUCUUCCCCUUACUCUCCUUCACAAGUUGUGGCACCCAUCUGAGGCCAGCCUUGCUUGGCAUACAUGGCUGCACACAUGUGAUUGGAAACAUGCAUGGAAGCUUGGGCCUAGAUAUGCAAUUAUGCCUUCCUAAGUUUUACUGAUGCAAUUUCUUUUUGAAAGAUCCCUAAAAUCAUUUACGCUUUUGCUCCUGAGAAUUGUUUACUAUUGUGAAUUGUAUCAAUGGCCGAAAUGGUCAAUUAACGACAUAGACCAAGAUAUCAUAAAACCCCUUCAGUAGAUCGACUGAAAUAUGAACAUUCUUGGCCCAAAGUUACAGGAUUGCACCAAUUAAUUGCUAACCUCUUGGUUUUAAUGAUAAUUGUUCUACCAUAUGAUUUUCUUCUACUAGCAUCCCAUCCACAAUGUCAGUUGGAAUUAUAUAUAUAUAGCUUAGACAUUUAGUGUGAUAUAUUCUGCGAGAUGUGUUCAAAUCACUGUAUUUUUCCAUGAUAUUAACAAUUUUUCUUUGAAUGUUUAAGUGAACGUUCUCUAAAAUUUCAUUCUCAGUUAAGUCUGGUCUUUCUUUGGGUAAUUUAUAUAGUAAGGUCUGCAAGAAUUGAAUGCAGAUCCACUAUUCCCCGCCUCUGUAUUUACUGCAAUGCAUAUUUACCUGGAGCUAGCAUCACAUACUGUAUGUCAAGUGCCAAGUCAGUUUUCACUAAAUACAAAUUAAAAUAUAUAUAUGAACCUUUUCAUUAGCUUUGGCUGCACGUUUCUGGAUAAUGUCAAUAUCAAUAUUUGUAAGUACUCUUAUGAACUCAUAUGAUGCAUCUCCCACUAUUUUUUAUCUGCAAGGUGUCUGACAUAGUGUUUGGACAUACUUAUUUCUGGUAGUAACUUUUCCAUUGUGAAACUAUUUCGACUACAGUAGCUUGCGGGCAAUGUGGGCUACUACAAGACCGAGACCUGCAUUAAAAGAUGAUUACAUUUAGGAGUGAAUGAUGAUUAUCUGGAAAAUAGUUCAUCCUGCACAGUUUUCUCGGCAAGCUGGAACUUCCAGUUAUACUGGUUGUAUAUUUAUGGGUUAUAGACUUAUAGUUGAAAUUUUCAAAUGAUUAGGUAUUUUUGCAGUUGUAGUUGGAUAUACAAGUGCCUAAAACUGAAGUCGGCACUUCUUCACUAGAAGCUAUGUUCACUAGCUUGAUUUCUCCUAUGAGAUGUAGAAUUUUUAUUUCCGCUACAUUGUUGUAGUUUCCUUUUUUGCUGUAGCUGCUUAUCUAUCAGAGUAUCUAUGCAUGUGUGGGUUUAUGUUUCAUUAAUUGUCCUAUAAAUAAUCUGAAUUUCUUUCAAUC